AAUAUUGCACAAUGGAGGGAACUCUGAUGCAGCGACGCCGCGUGAGUGAAGAAGGGUUUCUGGUCGUAAAGCUCUGUCCUCAGGGAAGAAGAAAGUGACGGUACCUGAGAAUAUAGCCGCGGCUAACUACUUGCGAGCAGCCGCGGUAAUACGUAGGGGGCGAGCGUUGUCCGGAAUUAUUGGGCGUAAAGGGUGCGUAGGCGGCUUCUUAAGUCAGAUGUGAAAAACCACAGCUUAACUGGGGGGUUGCAUUUGAAACUGGGGAGCUUGAGUUUCGGAGAGGGUCGUGGAAUUCCCGGUGUAGCGGUGAAAUGCGUAGAUAUCGGGAGGAAAACCAGUGGCGAAGGCGACUACCUGGACGACAACUGACGCUGAGGCACGAAAGCUAGGGGAGCAAACA
rnacentral:rRNA from 1 species